GCCUCAGUAACGGCGAGUGAAGCGGCAACAGCUCAAAUUUGAAAGCUGGCCCCCCCCGGGGGUCCGCGUUGUAAUUUGUAGAGGAUGAUUCGGCGAGGGCUCCCGCCUAAGUCCCCUGGAACGGGGCGUCAUAGAGGGUGAGAAUCCCGUAUGCGGUGGGCUGCCUUAGCCAUGUGAAUCUCCUUCGACGAGUCGAGUUGUUUGGGAAUGCAGCUCUAAAUGGGAGGUAAAUUUYUUYUAAAGCUAAAUACCGGCCAGAGACCGAUAGCGCACAAGUAGAGUGAUCGAAAGAUGAAAAGCACUUUGGAAAGAGAGUUAAAAAGUACGUGAAAUUGUUGAAAGGGAAGCGCUUGCAGCCAGACUUGUCCGCAGUUGCUCAGCCGGUCUCCUGACCGGCGCACUCUUCUGCGGCCAGGCCAGCAUCAGUUCGGGCGGUCGGAUAAAGGCCCCGGGAACGUAGCUCCUCUCGGGGAGUGUUAUAGCCCGGGGUGGAAUGCGGCCAGCCUGGACUGAGGAUCUCGCUUCGGCUAGGAUGCUGGCGUAAUGGCUGUAAGCGGCCCGUCUUGAAACACGGACCAAGGAGUCUAACAUCUAUGCGAGUGUUUGGGUGUCAAACCCAUGCGCGUAAUGAAAGUGAACGGAGGUGGGAACCCUCGCGGGUGCACCAUCGACCGAUCCUGAUGUCUUCGGAUGGAUUUGAGUAAGAGCAUAGCUGUUGGGACCCGAAAGAUGGUGAACUAUGCCUGAAUAGGGUGAAGCCAGAGGAAACUCUGGUGGAGGCUCGCAGCGGUUCUGACGUGCAAAUCGAUCGUCAAAUUUGGGUAUAGGGGCGAAAGACUAAUCGAACCAUCGACUACUAGGUGGUUAAGAGGUGGCUGAAAGUGCCCACCUAGUCCCCCCGUCCGAGGACGGGGGGGCGACAUCGCCAAAUUGCGGGGACUCCCUUAGAGCCUCUACUACCGCGGCCGGCCGAAAGGCGCGGUGCAGCACCGGGUUAAUUGCCUAGGGUACGGUAAAAAGGUAGAGGAUUGGGAAAUCCGCAGCCAAGCGCCUAAGUCCCGCGGGAUACGGCGAAGGUUCAGAGACUAGAUGGCGGUGGGUCCGGCCCGAGGGCCGGGCCUAAGGUMUAG
rnacentral:rRNA from 1 species